rnacentral:rRNA from 1 species
UACAGAGGGGGCAAGCGUUGUUCGGAAUUACUGGGCGUAAAGGGCGCGUAGGCGGCCCUGUAAGUCUUGGGUGAAAUCCCUCGGCUCAACCGAGGAAUUGCCUUGGAUACUGCAGGGCUCGAGGCUGGAAGAGGGCAGUGGAAUUCCCGGUGUAGCGGUGAAAUGCGUAGAUAUCUGGAGGAACACCGGUGGCGAAGGCGGCAUCCUGGACCGACAUUGACGCUGAGGAGCGAAAGCUAGGGGAGCAAACGGG